rnacentral:rRNA from 1 species
GAUGAACGCUGGCGGCGUGCCUAAUACAUGCAAGUCGAGCGAACAGAUGAGGAGCUUGCUCCUCUGACGUUAGCGGCGGACGGGUGAGUAACACGUGGAUAACCUACCUAUAAGACUGGGAUAACUUCGGGAAACCGGAGCUAAUACCGGAUAAUAUAUUGAACCGCAUGGUUCAAUAGUGAAAGACGGUUUUGCUGUCACUUAUAGAUGGAUCCGCGCCGCAUUAGCUAGUUGGUAAGGUAACGGCUUACCAAGGCAACGAUGCGUAGCCGACCUGAGAGGGUGAUCGGCCACACGGGAACUGAGACACGGUCCAGACUCCUACGGGAGGCAGCAGUAGGGAAUCUUCCGCAAUGGGCGAAAGCUUGACGGAGCAACGCCGCGUGAGUGAUGAAGGUCUUCGGAUCGUAAAACUCUGUUAUUAGGGAAGAACAAAUGUGUAAGUAGCUAUGCACGUCUUGACGGUACCUAAUCAGAAAGCCACGGCUAACUACGUG